CAGGAAGGUUGGUGGCCCAAGCUCUAGCUUGAAUAAAAACCCUCAUGCGAUUACAGUGGGUUGCAUUUUCUGGUGGUCUCUGUGGGUUUUUCACAGUCUGGGCACAGCAGCAGGAACUCAUAUAGCAAUCAAGACAGAGCUGGCUUUCACUCGAGGAAGGAAGUACCAAUUGCAGGGAGCAAAUCCUGAUGGCGUGAUCGCAUCCUGCCUGAGAUGGUACCACAUCUGUACAGAAAGCUCCACAGCCGCUCUAGUGGCUGUGGUCCUCUGUAGUGUGCUGGAAAAUAGUAGGGAAGGCAGCAAGGGUUACUCAGGGGCGAACAUGGAAAUUACAGCUCAAGGUGGCUGCAGCCCGGUAACGGUGGGCUCCUCUGAAGGGCAACCCUGUUCCUAAAGUCCUUUUGCUUUCAGAGAAACAAGCCAUGUCUUCUUCAGAUUGCUAUCGUGAGAGACCAGGGGAAGAAAAAGCCAGAGGAUUACUCAAAGCAAAGAGAUUCGAGAGUGACCGAGGAGACAAACCCUCCAGAAGAAGACAAAGAAGAAAGAGGAGAGCUGAGAUGUAGCUGUGCACUGGUGUCUCGUACAGUCAAGUUGUUAGAUCCCUGUUUGUGCUGGGACUGAAUCUCGGGCUUUGUGCGCUGAACUGCUUCCUACUACUUACGUACAUCCCUAGCCCAUCAAGUCUAUCCAAGACAGAACAAUCGCUUUGACCUACAUGAAGCAAUGAGAUGGGCUAUGCAGAAACCCCUAGAUUCCAUUUUCAUUUCAUGUAUGUAUGUAUGUAUGUAUUAUGCAUCUUUUGUUUUGUUUUGUUUUGAAAUGAGCUCUCACCAUGUAGCCCUGGCUGGCCUGGAAUUCACUAGAUCUACCUGUCUCUACCUCCAGAUGGCUGGGAUUAACUGUGUGCGGCCCCACCCCCUUUAUUCUUUUAUAACAUUAUUUUGUGGUUGUCCAGUAAAAGCGUUUUGGCCACUACUAGCUCCAGAAAGCAUUCAGAUUCAUCUAGAAUACCCAGAGGUCCUUAAGUUCAGUUUCAGGCUCAGGGCUCCUACACAUGGUACCGAUCUGGAGCCUCUGAUAGAUCCAUGAACCUCUAGGCUAGCUCUACAGACCAUGAAAGGAAGCUUAACAUUUGAAGGGCAAAACUGUUUGGCAGUUUUACAUUACAGGUGGUUUAGCCAUGCAGACUUCAUCCCUGGGCUCUGCAGUUUUAACUGGGAUGCCUCAGGGAACACUCAGGGAGCACUGAUCGGCCCCGCCCAUAGCGCUCUCGGCCUCUCACACUCAGGAGAGCUGCACCUUGGGCUGCAUGAGUUUUCAUGACUCACCAUCCCUAGAGGAUAAACACGGCCAUUUUUAUUUAUAAAACACUGAUUUCAGCCAGGUCUGGCUGACUUACAGCUCAGGCUUAAUUGCAGCAUUUGAAAGAUUGAGGCAGGAGGACUACUUUGAGUCUGAGGCCAGCCUGGGGCCG
rnacentral:lncRNA from 1 species